UCAGAUCCUGGGUCUGCCCAGCCUCCCUUCCCUGCCAAGGCUGAGAAAGGUUUGCAUCAUUUCUUUCCUGAUUCCACACUGAGACUUGCCUCUUGUGACUCAGAUUUACUGGAUGACUCAGACUCUGCCCGGGACUGCUUCUGUGGGCCUGGAGCCCCACUCCUCUUCUCCAGAAGCAUUGGAAUGACACCAGAGAUCUGAAGAGCACACGU